rfam:TPA: Bos taurus chromosome 8, whole genome shotgun sequence.
UGGCUUAGAUGGUAAAGUGUCUGCCUGCAAUGCAGGAGACUCAGGUUCGAUCCCUGG